rnacentral:rRNA from 1 species
GCAUAUCAAUAAGCGGAGGAAAAGAAACCAACAGGGAUUGCCCUAGUAACGGCGAGUGAAGCGGCAACAGCUCAAAUUUGAAAUCUGGCUUCGGCCCGAGUUGUAAUUUGCAGAGGAAGCUUUAGGUGCGGCCCCAACUGAGUCCCCUGGAACGGGGCGCCACAGAGGGUGAGAGCCCCGUAUAGUUGGACGCCUAGCCUGUGUAAAGCUCCUUCGACGAGUCGAGUAGUUUGGGAAUGCUGCUCAAAAUGGGAGGUAAAUUUCUUCUAAAGCUAAAUACCGGCCAGAGACCGAUAGCGCACAAGUAGAGUGAUCGAAAGAUGAAAAGCACUUUGAAAAGAGGGUUAAAUAGCACGUGAAAUUGUUGAAAGGGAAGCGCUUGUGACCAGACUUGCGCCGGGCUGAUCAUCCGGUGUUCUCACCGGUGCACUCUGCCCGGCUCAGGCCAGCAUCGGUUCUCGCGGGGGGAUAAAGGCUCCGGGAACGUAGCUCCUCCGGGAGUGUUAUAGCCCGGGGCGUAAUGCCCUCGCGGGGACCGAGGACCGCGCUCUGCAAGGAUG